UCCCGCAUUCUCCAUACUGUUCUUCCUAUCCGCUAUCGUCCAUAAUUUUUAUUUCGUUGAUGUUUAGACCGAAACCGGUGCGUGUUACUGGAUUGGAAGAUGAGGUUCAACAUUAUAAUGGGGAUUGCUCGAGGACUGCUUUACCUCCAUCAUGAUUCGAGGCUGACAAUCAUUCAUAGAGACAUGAAAACCAGCAACAUCCUUCUCGACGAGGUAAUGAACCCUCGGAUUUCGGACUUUGGCAUGGCGAGGAUAAUGGGAGGGCAGGAAACAGAGGCCAACACUGUCAAAGUAGUUGGAACUUAGUAAGUAACCCAACAUUUCUCAUUCCUCUUUAACAUUUUUAUGAAUAAGUGAUUUCAUUUCUUAUACAAAAAGAGAAGCAAACAUAGCCAAAUAAUUAACUUACUGGAUCGUAAAUCCGUAUUGAUUCUUGCAGCGGCUACAUGUCUCCAGAGUAUGCGCUGGACGGGAACUUCUCAAUAAAAUCCGACGUAUUCAGCUUCGGAGUGGUCCUACUCGAGAUCAUCAGCGGGAAGAGGAACACCGGAUUCUACAAGUCGAACAAAGUGGUGUCCCUUCUUGGUCACGUAUGGGGGCACUGGAGAGAAGAGAAGGCGACGGAAGUGAUGGAUCAAUCUUUGUCCGAAACAUGUGUGGUGAACGAGUUCCUGAGGUGUGUAAACGUCGCACUGCUGUGCGUCCAGGAAGAUCCUAACGAUCGGCCGACGAUGGAAAAUGUUCUUUUCAUGUUAGGGAGUGAAGCAGCUAGCCUUGGCCGUCCGAAAGAGCCUGCAUUCACUAUCAGACGGGAAAUUUCGAGUUCUACUUCGAGUAGUAUAGUGGCGAUGGAGACUACUGUGGUGGAAGCAAGAUGACUCACAAUUUGUAUAUGAAAUUCUUUCGGUGCAUAUGAAAAUUGUGAAUCGACCAACAGAUUUCAAGUCUAUCUCCUUAACCACUCAGGCAUAUCGACCAAUUGAUUAUUUGAAUCUACACCUAGUCACACCUAUAGCAAGAUCACAUAGAUAAAAGCAUUGCAGGUCUGCCUCAUUACGAGUCUAGAAUGUAGCUGAAGAAUGGUUCAAGGUCUUCUAGAGUCUAUUUUACCGACAACUUUUUUAGCAAAUUGGAGACACAAGUGUAGAAGUUUACGGCCACAUUAUAUAACAUUGACUUCAAAACCAUCUUAGUCUCCUCUCUCUCGAUAUGGUUGCUAAACUCGAAUUUGCCUCAUUCACAAUCUUUUGACCGGCUCAACUCUUUAAUAAAAAUAUUGACGAGCUCAAUUAAAAUAUAAUUCGAGUUCUGCAUACUAGUUCGACUAUACUUUCAAAUUAUAAAUGACUUGUUAAGAAUAUAAUAGUAAGAACUUUUUUACUAUUGUGUUAAUCCUCUAUCACCCGUUUUACGUGCACCUUUUUUAAAAUUAUCAACUCUGUAGCCAUUCGAUUGAGAUUCUUAUUUCUCCAAUUGUGAUGGUGAUGGCCAACCCCACUCUUUGGCUAAUCGGCCAUAUCGCUAUGUCUAACACGCAAACCCUCUCUCCUCCUCUUCGUCUCCAACUUCAUCUCCACCAUUCCAGAUCUCCAUAAUACCUUCACGUCAUAGAUGAUAGAGAAAGAAAAAUGAGUUGUUGGUGUCUCCUUUUAACUAUUAAAGUCUCAUCUGUAAUAGGGAAGAUCACGAUAUCUCUUUAGCGGCGAUGGAGUAGCAGCUACGAGGUAGAGUAGCUAUUGAUAUUUCCUCUCAAUUACUGGUGGAGUAUCCCUUGUCUCUUUCCAUUCCAGUUUUGUCUGCUCACGUCGGGGUUGUGGUGAUGGCAUCGUUGAAGAUUUGUCAUUUGUUGUUAGGGUUUGGAUUUUACCCAUUUCAAUUACUUCCUGGAACUUCCAUUUGUAAACCAUGUAACUGUUGGAUUCAUAAGCAGACUCAACUUCAAUCGUAGAGCAAGCCUGGAGUUGAUUCAAAAACUACAACGUGGAAUCGAUCAUCUCAAUAUUCACCUCUGGUUUUACUCAUGGUUUUAAUUUUUCAUCUUUGUUGAUAAUUGUAUUUGGUUCCAAAUAAAUACCAUGCUAACGUUUUGAUUUAUGGAGAUAGGUUGAUAAUAUGGCCGUACUUGCUGUUAAACGAUUGUGAACAUUCACAAAGGAGCCAAAGUUGCCGAAUAAACUCAUUGUGAGUGUUUUUAUCUCCCUUACUGUUGUGCUGGCUGAUAUUUAUAUCAGUUUUGAUUCCAAUCUUAACAUUGUAACUCCUAUUGUUGUACGUGCAUAGUGAAACCCCAUGAUCCUUACUUUUUUUCAUGUAUUCAAAUAAGGUAUAAUUUUCAAAACUUUUCUAUAAGCUUAUUCUUAGUACAAUAUUUAACCAAAUCAUACAGUCAAAUGAAACUCUAUCUGUGACGAUUUAUUUGUGGAGAAUACUAAAUGUGCCCUUUAUUGUGCUAUCGUGGGAACUUAAUACAAGUGAUAACCUUUCAUUUGAUCCCGAAUUGCGUUGAAAAUUGGUAAAGCUUUAGGCUCUGGUUAGCAGGAAAAAGCCUUUUGGAAUGGGAUGUUGGAGAGUGAUGAUUCUGGAACACUAGAAUUGAGGAUCUUUGUCUCGAAUUCACUCUUUUGCUCUAAUUUCUGUGCAUGUUAAUUAAUCUAUCUGAUAACCUUUGCAGACAAUUGUUCAGUGUUGCUGGUAAGAUAUGUACAUUUGUCCAACAGAAGGAAACUAACGAGCACAAGCUGCUUGCCGAAUUCGAGAUUAAUUUCGAUAUUUCUGCAAUCUUUCUUUCUUCUUUUCCCAAGUUUUUGACAUCCCGUUGAUUGUUAUAAAUAUGAAUAGUUUAGCUGCAUUUUUCAUCCACAUCAUGAUUUUGCUGCUUGCUUAUCUCUGUUGAUUCAUAUGAUUCGUAUUAGCCAUUGUAUUUCAUGUUUCAAUGUGUAGAUUGAUUAUUCAAGGAAGAUUGUUUCUGUCAAGGCAAUAGCACGGGCUAUUUCUAGUGAUUGAUAAUGGUUGAUGUAUUAGAGUAUAGCCGAGCUAGUAUGUCAGAUGGCUAUCAAGCCACUGACCCUCUCAGCCCGAUUAGGAGCGCAAGUUGGCUAACCGGCCACGCUAUAGCUUGCUCUGUUGCUCAUCAUGUAGCAUCUCGAACGAGUUUUUUUGUCCGAACGAACACCGAACAGCUGGCGAGCUGCAGCAAAACUACCAAAGACUUUUCAGCGGUCGGUGAAAUUUCUUCGAUUGAGAGAAGUGACUUAAAGUUAAAGUGAUUAAAUCAUUUAAACGGGUUAAACUAGUCAAAAAGAUUAAACGUGUGGAGUGGAGCAGCUAUGGGCUUGUUCUUGUAAAGCCAUUGACGAGUUUAUCUUUAUACAUGUUGAGAAGGGUGAUGAAAGAGAUGGAGAAGUAAAUUAAUGGAUUCCAGAGUGAUGCCAUUGUUCUUCCUCAUAGUAGUAGUUCUAUCAGUCUCCCCUGUUUUUUCAAACUUUACUGUACGAAUCUAUCAAUCACGUUCUGACACCGACACGGCACUCCUCAACGACAGCAGAGGAGAAACUCUGGUCUCUAAGGACGGAACUUUCGAGCUGGGUUUCUUCUCACCAAACAGAUCCAACCGGAGAUACCUCGGUGUAUGGUACCGGAAGCGGUCGUCUACGGUUGUCUGGGUCGCGAAUCGGGACCAUGGACUGCAAGAUAAAACAGGGUACCUCUGUUUAAAUUUUCAAAUAGGCCUCCAAAUCCUGGACGGAAGCCGUAAAGCAUACUGGUCGUCCUCAAUUGAACUUGGACCCAUGGAAAGAUACGGCAGUCACAACCUGAUACUUUACGAUUCUGGUAAUUUGAUCCUGACUGGGGUAGAAGAACAGAGCAUUCUGUGGCAGAGCUUCGAUCAUCCAACCGACACGUUUCUAGCAGGGAUGAAAAUGGUUACAGGUUUGACUCUGACUUCCUGGACUAGCCCCCACGAUCCCUCGCCUGGAAAUUACCUGCUCCAGGUCGAUCAGCAACCUUUGGAUAAUCAGCAGUUGGUAAUUCUGAAUAACUCCAAACCUUUUUGGAAUUCUGGUGGUCAGAUACCUCUGUUCAUCUCUCAACUCCUCAUGACUUCGCCAACCAGCCGUCAAAUGUAUUGCCGCAGUUUACGCAUUAGUGAUCCGGCCUGCAACGCAGCGGCUCCCAAUGCCAGAUUUCUGAUGGCUUUUGACGGCAGGUAACAUCACUAGUUCUAUUUAAUUAUUUUUGUAUUGUUGUAUUUUUAAUGCAUACCACCAACAUAGAUAGACACAAUUUUAAACUUGAUAAAUUUUUAUAAGUUAGCUUUUGAGGUGAGAAGUUUAAUCACACUCGUAUCACCUAAGUUAGCUUUUGUCUAAUUUAACCUAAACUGUUGUUAGAUUAACGUUGGUUCUUUGUCCGUGGUUAGAAUAUUCUAACAACGGACGAGCAAUAAAAAACAAGGUUAGCAAUAGCGAUUUCUGUCCGCUAUUAGAUUGCCGCCGUUAAACUCUUAGGUUCUUGUAGUGUUAGUGAAAGGGAUUGAGUUGAGUGUUUGUUUGAUAGAAAAUGGAUUGAGUGUUGUUUAUAAGUAUGAGGGAAAGACUCGUCUAUUAACUUAAUUUUUUGAACGAGAAAGUUCAAUAAUAUCCAACAACCAUAAAUAGAAAUGAUUUUGUGUUUCUCUCACGGUAGAGUGAUCAAUGUAUCUAUUACCCAAAUAACUAAUUAUGUAUUAGUAGGAUUCAAGGUUUCCAGACGCAAAGCGAAAUGACCCCAUCGUGGGUCGAGCCUCAGGACAUCUGCGACCUGACAUCGGUGUGUGGGAGUUUUGGCAGCUGCAACAGUGGGUACCAUUGGCCAUGUAAGUGUCUUCCAGGGUUUGAACCGAGAUCAGAAGAUAAGUGGAAUGCAGGGGACUUCUCGGACGGGUGUACUAGUACGAGUAGUACAAACUUCCAGAAUUGUGACAAGAACAGAAGUAGUAUCUUCUUGAAUCUGACCGUGGCAAAAGUGCGGAGGCCGCCUACACGAGUGAAUCUGGAACUGGUGAAUGAACACAAUUGCAGCGAAUGGUGUCUAGGGCAAUGCACCUGCCAGGCAUAUUCGUUCAGUAGCGGGUGCAACAUUUGGACUGAUGAUGACUUACAGGGCAUCCAAGAGAUUGAUGGGCGUGUUGAUGAUGCGCCGGUUAGUCUCAACAUUCGAGCUCAUACUCCAAACACAGGUACGUAAAUGGUCACGACCACUCCCAAUAUAGGUACUAUACUUGCACUGUUGUCGAACAAGUCGAAAAUCAAUGAUUUAUCACUGGUUUACUUUGGAUGACUAUUUUGAUUUUGUAUGUGGUACUCUAGAAGAAGAAAUGACUAAGAAGGAUUGCAAACCAUGCGGGAUCAACACCAUUCCUUACCCGCUGAGCAUUGGACCAAACUGUGGCGAUCCGAUGUACUCGAGCUUCGUCUGUAAUGCUACCUCUGGACGACUUCUCUUCACAUCACACAACAUCAGAUACACGGUGACUAGAAUCGACAAACGUUCGCGGAAGUUCUUUGUUCAAGCCGGGAAAGAAAAUUGUGAAAAGAAGGCUAUUGGACUAAAUCAAUCGUUGCCGUUUAAGGUUCAUCAUGAUGUGUGUAAUGACGAUAUGGGUAACAUAAGUUUCGGACUUUUCCGCAAUGCGAAAUCAUUCUAUGAAAUGGCGAUUGUGUGGGAUUUGCCAUCUGAGCCACUCUGUGGCCCCAACGAUGACUGUAGCAACUGGCCGAGUUCGAGUUGCCGGAGUAAGGGCGGAGGAAAGAAGUGUCUUUGCGAUGGGAAUUCAAGAUGGGACGGCACUAACGCUAAUUGUAGCCAGAGUAAGUCUUACUUUCAUUUUGUUGAGUAACUUUUUUUAGUAAAAAAACAACCUGCAUGAAGUAAUAUUUUCAAGUUCGAUUCAGUAAUAUUUUGAAAAUAUUUAUAUCUCGGAUCUGCUACUUCCGCCCCUCUUGUAGUUGUUGGCCCCUCUACGUUAUCACCAAAGGAAAAAGAACGAUCAUUACGAAAUUCUAUCAUCUUCGGAUGCAUCGGAGGAAUGCUUCUGAUAUCCGCUUUCGCUUUCGUAAUACUAUACAUGAAGGGGAGAACGGUCGGUAAAAAAGGUAUAGAAAAUAGCAUAAUUAAGCUCACAAUAUUACUAUUUAACAGCUUAAAUUUUGGAUUAUAAAAGUUAUAACUUGUUAUUUGUUUAAUCUUAAACAGGAAGAAAUUUUGAAGAGAAUUUAGCAUUGAGGAUGUACGAUAGUGAGAAGCGGGUGAAAGAGUUCAUAAACUCUGGCCAUGAGUUUGGUGAAGAUCAACGUCCCAUUCUUUGAUUUGGACUGCAUUUUAGCUGCCACUGACUUCUUCUCCGUUGACAACAAGCUCGGACAGGGUGGUUUCGGCCCUGUUUACAAGGUCAGAUCGCUCAUAUAUCCUUAUAUGUAAUUCGGCCUGGGACGGGGGAUUCGUGAGAAAAAUAAUUAGUGUUACACAUUUGUCAACAGGGCAAGUUUCCAGGAGGCCAGGAGAUUGCAGUGAAGAGGCUGUCGAGCGCUUCGGCGCAAGGGUUAGAAGAGUUCAAAAACGAGGUCGUUUUGAUUGCGAAGCUACAACACAAGAAUCUCGUCAGGCUGUUAGGAUACUGUGUCGAAGGGAAUGAGAAGAUGCUGCUCUACGAAUACAUGCCUAACAAGAGCCUCGACUUCUUCAUCUUUGGUUAGUAUGUACUCCCGCAUUCUCCAUACUGUUCUUCCUAUCCGCUAUCGUCCAUAAUUUUUAUUUCGUUGAUGUUUAGACCGAAACCGGUGCGUGUUACUGGAUUGGAAGAUGAGGUUCAACAUUAUAAUGGGGAUUGCUCGAGGACUGCUUUACCUCCACCAUGAUUCGAGGCUGACAAUCAUUCAUAGAGACAUGAAAACCAGCAACAUCCUUCUCGACGAGGAAAUGAACCCUCGAAUUUCGGACUUUGGCACUGCGAGGAUAAUGGGAAGGCAGGAAACAGAGGCCAACACUGUCAAAGUAGUUGGAACUUAGUAAG
rnacentral:lncRNA from 1 species